rnacentral:rRNA from 1 species
AGUGGCACACUGCUCAGUAACACGUAGCUAACCUACCCUUAGGACGUGGAUACCCCCGAGAAAUUGGGGUUAUCCGCGAUAGAUGUAAUGUCCUGGAAUGGUAUUACGUCUAAAGGUAUUUCAUACAUGUUUGAAAUAUGCCUAAGGAUGGGGCUGCGGCCGAUCAGGCUGUUGGUGAGGUAAUGGCUCACCAAACCUUUGACCGGUACGGGCCAUGAGAGUGGUAGCCCGGAGAUGGACACUGAGACAAGGGUCCAGGCCCUAAGGGGCGCAGCAACCGCGAAACCUCCACAAUGCACUCACGUGCGAUGGGGCUAUCUCGAGUGCCACCUGAUGAAGGUGGCUUUUCCUUGGUCUUCAAAGCCUUGGGAAUAAGAGGGGGGCAAGACUGGUGUCAGCCGCCGCGGUAACACCAGCCCCUCGAGUGGUGGGGAUGAUUAUUUGGCCUAAAGCGUCCGUAGCCGGCCGUGAAAGUCUUCCGUUAAAUCCAGCGUCUCAAGCGUUGGACCGCGGGAGAUACUACAUGGCUAGAGAGUGGGAGAGGUCAGCGGUAUUCUGGGGGUAGGGGCGAAAUCCUUUGAUCCCCGGAGGACCACCAGUGGCGAAGGCUGCUGACUAGAACACGUCUGACGGUCAGGGACGAAAGCUGGGGUAGCGAACCGGAUUAGAUACCCGGGUAGUCCCAGCCGUAAACGAUGCAUGCUAGGUGUUGGGUUGGCCACGAGCCACCCCAGUGCCGCAGGGAAGCCGUUAAGCAUGCCGCCUGGGAAGUACGAUCGCAAGAUUGAAACUUAAAGGAAUUGGCGGGGGAGCACCACCAGGCGUGAAGCCUGCGGUUUAAUUGGAUUCAACCCGGG